UACGCAGGCGGCUGCGCAAGACAGGUGUGAAAUCCCCGGGCUUAACCUGGGAACUGCAUUUGUGACUGCGCAGCUAGAGUUUGUCAGAGGGGGUGGAAUUCCACGUGUAGCAGUGAAAUGCGUAGAGAUGUGGAGGAACACCGAUGGCGAAGGCAGCCCCCUGGGACCUGACUGACGCUCAUGUACGAAAGCGUGGGGAGCAAACA
rnacentral:rRNA from 1 species